rnacentral:lncRNA from 1 species
UAGAGAAGCUAGUUUUUCGUUUAAAGUAAAUUUGUAAAAAGAUAAAAUGUCUGAUACAUUAGCAUUUUUUGUUCCGUAUUUAAUGGUGGUUUUUGGUCAUAUUAUGGGUUGUUUUUUUGAAGAUACACUCAAUUAUUCUAGAAAACAUAUGUUUUACGUAAAAUUAGUAGAGCACCGGUGUAAAUGAAGGUUGAAUUAGAACCUUUGGUAGAUGAAGUUAAGGGUACAUUGAGGAUACAUUGUUUGCGUGUUAUUGCCAUUAUAUAUUAUGGGUUUACGCAGUUGGGUAGUGUGUACGCACAUUUGUUUAGAGAAAACAAAUAGUCUAUAAUUUUAGAUUCCAACCCCUUCUUCGGUUGAUUAACAUAAGUGAUGUUAGUAAUUAAAUGGUGCAAGUUUUUUUUUAUGGUGUUAGAUUACGCCAUAUUUACAUAUUGUUUUAAAAUAGGAAAAGAGACGUAUCUUCAGAAAAUAGCACAUAAAUAUGUUUUGCCCUAAGGGAUUUACAUACUAGUAUUGUUGUGGUAGAUUGAUAUUAAAUAAAAAAAAAAAAAAAAAAAAAAGAGACAUACGAACGUAACGAGAAAAUUUAAGUGAAAUAGAUAAUUGAUAUUAAAGGAAAACUAGCUUUACAGUAAAAUUGAAAUUUUUCAUGAAC